GUUUUAUUCUUAAUCCAAAUUUUGUGGAUUUGUUUUUGAUUUUCUCCGAUCCAGAUUAUGUACCUUUGUUUUUCGAUUUUAUCUGAAUCCUGCUUUGGUGCCAUUGUUUUUGUCAGGUUUUGGCUGUCUCUUUUAUUACCAUUUGGACGUGUCAGGUAUAUUUCUCUCCCUUUUUUGUAUUAUUCUUGAUGCAUUUGUGCAUAUAAUUAUGUGUAUUUAUCAUGCAACUAAAUCUGAUAUUGUAUCUUGUUAGACUUAUUUUCGCAAGUUAAAUUUUGUGCUUGUUAAGUUGUUAUGUUUAUUUGUAUUUUCAGUUUGGUUUUUUUCAUUUACUGAUAUGGGCCUUUGUUUCCAAUAUUUAUUUCAUCUUUAACAGAUAUGCUUGAAAUGCUAAUGGAAUGCCACUCAGAUAAGCUCCUUGAUUUCAGCAAUGUGUGUUCUUGGGUAAAUUUCUUUACCACCUCCUUGACAAGUAGUGAUAUAUGUGCAUUUUUAAUCUCAGUGUGUACAUGUUUGGUUUGUUUAUUGAUUAUUGUUUAUUGAUAAUUAUCUUGUUGCUCAUCAGCAAAGUAUAUCAUAUAUACUUUUCUAUGAUAUACUUUUCUAUUUGUAUCAGAUACAUGUGUCAUUGUUUGUGGUUUGUUGUUGCCAGAAAAUUCUAAUUUCUAAAAUAUCUUUUAUUGGUUUUGGUUAUAUUAGUUCGUAGAUGUUUUUGAUGUGUUGAUUUAUAACUUGAUUUAUUUGGUGCUUAUACUCAUACUUGACACCUUUGUUUUUUAUUUGCAAUUUUAGAUUAACAAUUAACAGAAUCAAAUACACGAAAUGAAGCAGGUGAUAACACUGGAAGGUGUAGCAUCGUUAAGAAGGAUGAAAUUGAGUGGGCUGUAGUAGAACCACUGCAUCUUAGUUGAGGAAGGUACACAGACAAUGGAAGAUAUAUUAGUCUCUUCUUUGGUACCAACCUAACUGAUGUAGUUAUUAAAGGGGAUAAUGACACCAAUAAUGGGCAGGGUGAAUCCUGGUGAAAGAAUUUCCACAAGGGAGAAUUACAGUAAACUAGAGUCUCGAC